rnacentral:rRNA from 1 species
GAUGAACGCUUGCGGCGUGCCUAAUACAUGCAAGUCGAGCGAACAGAUGAGGAGCUUGCUCCUCUGACGUUAGCGGCGGACGGGUGAGUAACACGUGGAUAACCUACCUAUCAGACUUGGAUAACUUCUGGAAACCGGAGCUAAUACCGGAUAAUAUAUUGAACCUCAUUGUUCAAUAGUGAAAUACGGUUUUUCUGUCACUUAUAGAUGGAUCCGCGCCGGAUUAGCUAGUUGGUAAGGUAACGGCUUACCAAGACAACGAUGCGUAGCCGACCUGAGAGGGAUAUGGGCCAAAUCGGAAAAGAGAGCAGGACAAGAAGCAGGAGGGAAGCAGCAAUAGGGAAGAAUGCGAAAAGGGCGAGAAGGUAAAGGAGCAAAGCAGCGUGAGGGAUGAAAGUCUUCAGAUCAUAAAACACUGUUAUUAGGGAAGAACAAAUGAGUAAGUAACUAUGCACGUCUAGACGGUACAGAAUCAGAAAGACACGGAUAACUACGUG